rnacentral:rRNA from 1 species
UACGGGGGGGGUAAGCGUUGUUCGGAAUUACUGGGCGUAAAGGGCGCGUAGGCGGCCUGCUAAGUCGGAUGUGAAAUCCCUCGGCUCAACCGAGGAACUGCAUCCGAUACUGGCGGGCUUGAAUCCGGGAGAGGGAUGUGGAAUUCCAGGUGUAGCGGUGAAAUGCGUAGAUAUCUGGAGGAACACCGGUGGCGAAGGCGGCAUCCUGGACCGGUAUUGACGCUGAGGCGCGAAAGCUAGGGGAGCAAACGGG